AGCCCCGUCGUCUAGUGGCCAAGGAUGAGAGGCUUUGGGACGAGGAAACCUCUUGACGCAGGUUCGAAUCCUGCCGGGGCUACCA
rnacentral:tRNA from 1 species